rnacentral:lncRNA from 1 species
GCCUUCUCCAGUCUGCGGUGCUGGCUGUGGCUUACUUUUCUCUCCUCAAAGCGACAGUUAGGAAGUGGAGAGGCAUUCUAUGAGUGUUCUCGUCGGUUCUGUUUUGGAAGCUUCAGAAUCUUCUCGGGUUGGCUCAGAUUGCUGCAAAAUAAAAGCUGUACUUCUUGGGGCCAGAGAGGCACCGUCCUUCGGGGGACUCUGGCCCGCGUCCUGGCUCCGCCCCGUACUGGCCUCGGACCUCGGGGAGCGUUUUUAUCUGAAGUUUCCACGUCGGAAAGGGAUCGUAGUCUACCGAGAGCUGUUCCGAGCCCAGAGGAGAAAUUGUGUGGUGCUAAAUAGCUAUUCAUCUCCCUUAUACCGGAAAGCGUUGUAAUGAUAAGCCGACCUAACCUGUUGGGGAUUUUUUCUGGAAACCUUUUAAGACAGUUCAUGUUAUUGAGUUCUGAAUAUUAGGCUAUAUUGCAAGGGGCUUUUUAAAAUCCACGUAGCAACCCUAUGAAAUCAGAAAUUGCCCUCGUUUUACAAAUGAGUUAAAUGAGACCAAGUAAAAGGUUAAACAGCUUGUCUAGUAAGCUGGGAUUUGUUCCCAGGCGGUCUAGCUCCAGAUUGCAUGCUUUUAAAUACUAGGCUUCAUGCAUAGAAUCUAGUAUUAUUAGCCGAUCCUAUUAUUAGUAUGUAUUGUUCUUUAGGAAGAAAAAACGUGUCAGGAUUGCUCACGUUUCCAAGCACGUUGAUACUUAAGAGUUAGGAAGGGCUUAACUCCGAAUGGGUAUGGUGUUACCCUAAGUGAGGUUCAAAAAGAUGGUGUGGGCAACAAUGCUAUUUUGGAAUGGCUUGAUCCUUUUGGGCUUCCAUAACAAAAUAUCCUAGACUGGGUAGUUUAUGAACCACAGAAGUUUAUUCUUCACAUUUCUGAAGGCUGGAAUGUCACAGAAUAAGGUGUGUCUAGGGAGGGGUGCUUUCUCUUUAGUGGAUAGCACCUUCUGGCUCUGUCCUCGCAUGGUGGAGAGGCAGAGGCCCUCGCUUGGGCCUAUUUUAUAAGGACCUUAAUCCCAUUCCUCACUUCCCAAGAUGCCACUUGCUAAAACCGUCAGUUCGGGAGUUAGGAUUUCAAAAUGUGCAUUUUGAGGGACACAUUUAGACCAUAGCGUAGGUCAUGUUUUUAAAGUUGCUUUCUUGGCCCUGGAAUGGCAAUGCAGUCAUCUGAAUUGGUCUUAACCUACCAGGAAUGGGCUUAUAUUUUGAAAAUAUUUCUCGAUAAGGGAGUAAAAUAAGUUGUAUGGGUUUUUUGUUUAAGAAAGGAUUCCUUUGUUUACUCUGGUAUGCUUAUCCACUUCUGUGAUGUCAACCAUGGGUAGUGACCUAACAUUAAUUUAAUUCAACAGAUAUCUUUGUCUGCCUUGAUUCCUGCAUCCCCUGGGCUCCACAGCUAUUCACUUGUAUUGAUUCUGUUAACUCUUACACAUUAACUUUGAGCUGUGUCUCCUUCCUUUUAUCAUUUUGUGAGUAAAGAAUUUUAAUUUGCCAACAAAUCCUAAUGUGGACUUUGUCACGUUGUGAAAUAAAGUGAUUUUUUGGUAUGGAAA